rnacentral:rRNA from 1 species
UUUAACGAGAGUUUGAUCCUGGCUCAGAAUCAACGCUGGCGGCGUGCCUCAGACAUGCAAGUCGAACGAUUAAAGCCCUCUUCGGAGGGUGCAUAAAGUGGCGCACGGGUGAGUAACACGUAAGUAAUCUACCCUCGGGUGGGGAAUAACGUUCGGAAACGAACGCUAAUACCGCAUAAUGCAGCGGCACCGUAAGGUGACAGUUGUUAAAGGCGAAAGUCGCCUGAGGAGGAGCUUGCGGCAGAUUAGCUAGUUGGUAAGGUAACGGCUUACCAAGGCAACGAUCUGUAUCCGGUCUAAGAGG